UACGAAGGGGGCUAGCGUUGCUCGGAAUUACUGGGCGUAAAGCGCACGUAGGCGGCUUUCUAAGUCGGGGGUGAAAUCCUGGAGCUCAACUCCAGAACUGCCUUCGAUACUGGAAAGCUCGAGUCCGGGAGAGGUGAGUGGAACUGCGAGUGUAGAGGUGAAAUUCGUAGAUAUUCGCAAGAACACCAGUGGCGAAGGCGGCUGCAGCUGGCC
rnacentral:rRNA from 1 species